rnacentral:rRNA from 2 species
UGAGAAUUUUUGUAACAUGCAGUCGAGCGGAUCGAUGAGGAGCUUGCUCCCUGAGAUCAGCGGCGGACGGGUGAGUAACACGUGGGUAACCUGCCUGUAAGACUGGGAUAACUCCGGGAAACCGGGGCUAAUACCGGAUAACUCAGUUCCUCGCAUGAGGAACGGUUGAAAGGUGGCUUUUCGCUACCACUUACAGAUGGACCCGCGGCGCAUUAGCUAGUUGGUGAGGUAACGGCUCACCAAGGCGACGAUGCGUAGCCAACCUGAGAGGGUGAUCGGCCAUACUGGGACUGAGACACGCCCAGACUACUACGGGAGGCAGCAGUAGGGAAUCUUCCGCAAUGGACGAAAGUCUGACGGAGCAACGCCGCGUGAGUGAAGAAGGUUUUCGGAUCGUAAAACUCUGUUGUUAGGGAAGAACAAGUGCCGUUCGAAUAGGGCGGCACCUUGACGGUACCUAACCAGAAAGCCACGGCUAACUACGUGCCAGCAGCCGCGGUAAUACGUAGGUGGCAAGCGUUGUCCGGAAUUAUUGGGCGUAAAGCGCGCGCAGGUGGUUUCUUAAGUCUGAUGUGAAAGCCCACGGCUCAACCGUGGAGGGUCAUUGGAAACUGGGGAACUUGAGUGCAGAAGAGGAAAGUGGAAUUCCAAGUGUAGCGGUGAAAUGCGUAGAUAUUUGGAGGAACACCAGUGGCGAAGGCGACUUUCUGGUCUGUAACUGACACUGAGGCGCGAAAGCGUGGGAGCAACAGGAUUAGAUACCCUGGUAGUCACGCCGUAAACGAUGAGUGCUAAGUGUUAGAGGGUUCCGCCCUUUAGUGCUGCAGCUAACGCAUUAGCACUCCGCCUGGGGAGUACGGUCGCAAGACUGAAACUCAAAGAAUUGACGGGGCCCGCACAAGCGGUGAGCAUGUGGUUAAUUCGAAGCACCCGAAGAACCUUACCAGGUCUUGACAUCCUCUGACAACCCUAGAGAUAGGGCUUUCCCCUUCGGGGACAGAAUGACAGGUGUGCAUGGUUUUCGUCAGCUCGGUCGUGAGAGUUGGGUAAGUCCCGAACGAGCGCAACCCUUGAUCUAAGUUCCAGCAUUCAGUUGGGCACUCUAAGAUGACUCCCGGUACAAACCGGAGGAAGGUGGGGAUGACGCAAAUCAUCAUGCCCCUUAAGACCGGGGCAACAACCGGCCUACAAUGGACGGUACAAAGGGCACGAGACCCCGAGGUUUAGCCAAUUCCUAAAAACGGUUCCAGAUCGGAUUUGAGGCGGAACUCCCCCGCUAAAACUUGAAUCCCAGAAACCCCGGAUCCCCUGCCGGGGAAAACUUUCGCGG